rnacentral:rRNA from 1 species
UACAGAGGUGGCAAGCGUUGUUCGGAUUUACUGGGCGUAAAGGGUCCGUAGGCGGUUUGGAAAGUUGAAUGUGAAAUCCCACAGCUUAACUGUGGAACUGCAUUCAAAACUUCCAGACUAGAGUGUGAGAGGGGUAAAGGGAAUUCCCGGUGUAAGGGUGAAAUCUGCAGAGAUCGGGAGGAACACCAGUCGCGAAGGCGCUUUACUGGCUCACUACUGACGCUCAGGGACGAAAGCAAGGGUAGCAAACGGG